UGCUAAAGCAUCAAGUUCACUUCUUGAAAAAGAGAACAUGCAGAAAACAAUAUGAUGUUGUGUGAAAAGUCAGCCUUGUCAGUGAUCGACAUCUGUGUGAUUCAACUGGACAUGUGCUUUAUUAGCCCGGACAUUUGUCAACCUAGUUAGUAUAUUUGCGUAUGGUACAUGUAUUAUAAAUGUAUGUACGUAUUUUUAAAACAUACCUUGCGUUUUCUGUACACUUUGCAAAGAUAUGAUAUACACACUUUUUAACAUCAA